rnacentral:rRNA from 1 species
GGUAGGGGGGGCAAGCGUUGUCCGGAUUUAUUGGGCGUAAAGAGCUCGUAGGCGGCUCGGUAAGUUGGGGGUGUGAAAACUCCAGGGCUCAACCUGGAGAGGCCACCUAAUACUGCUGUGGCUAGAGUCCGGUAGAGGAGCGUGGAAUUCCUGGUGUAGCGGUGAAAUGCGCAGAUAUCAGGAGGAACACCAGCGGCGAAGGCGGCGCUCUGGGCCGGUACUGACGCUGAGGAGCGAAAGCGUGGGGAGCAAACAGGAUUAGAUACCCUGGUAGUCCACGCCGUAAACGUUGGGCACUAGGUGUGGGGCCCUGCUAACGGGUUCCGUGCCGUAGCUAACGCAUUAAGUGCCCCGCCUGGGGAGUACGGCCGCAAGGCUA